rnacentral:rRNA from 1 species
GACGAACGCUGGCGGCGUGCUUAACACAUGCAAGUCGAACGAAGUGGCGAACGGGUGAGUAACGCGUACUCAACCUGCCCUUCAGCGGGGGACAACAGUUGGAACCGACUGCUCAUACCGCAUACUGAAGGAGGGGAGUGCGUCUGAUUAGCUAGUGGGAGGGGUAACGGCACACCAAGGCGAUGAUCAGGAGCCGGGCUGAGAGGAUGAACGGCCACAUUGGGAAUGAGACACGGCCCAGACUCCUACGGGAGGCAGCAGUGGGGAAUCUGCCGCAAUGGACGAAAGUCUGACGGAGCAACGCCGCGUGGGUGAUGACGGCCUUCGGGUUGUAAAGCUCUGUUAAUCGGGACGCGGUACCGGAAUAGAAAGCCACGGCUAACUACGUGCCAGCAGCCGCGGUAAUAC